rnacentral:rRNA from 1 species
GACGAACGCUGGCGGCGUGCUUAACACAUGCAAGUCGAACGCUGAAGCUCAGCUUUUGUUGGGUGGAUGAGUGGCGAACGGGUGAGUAACACGUGAGUAACCUGCCCCCUUCUUUGGGAUAACGCCAGGAAACGGGUGCUAAUACUGGAUAUUCACUGGUCUUCGCAUGGGGGUUGGUGGAAAGGGUUUUUCUGGUGGGGGAUGGGCUCGCGGCCUAUCAGCUUGUUGGUGGGGUGAUGGCCUACCAAGGCUUUGACGGGUAGCCGGCCUGAGAGGGUGACCGGUCACAUUGGGACUGAGAUACGGCCCAGACUCCUACGGGAGGCAGCAGUGGGGAAUAAUGCACAAUGGGCGCAAGCCUGAUGCAGCGACGCCGCGUGAGGGAUGGAGGCCUUCGGGUUGUGAACCUCUUUCGCUCAUGGUCAAGCCGCAACAAUGGUUGUGGUGAGGGUAGUGGGUAAAGAAGCGCCGGCUAACUACGUG